rnacentral:lncRNA from 1 species
UUUCUGUUCUACCCUCUACAUGCCCUCUCCUAUUCCCUCCUCCUCAUUCUAGGGAGGGGAGAGGGGCUGGAGACUGAGUUCACCCACCAAUGGCCAAUGAUUUAAUCAAUCAUGUCUACAUAAAGAAGUCUCCACAAAAACCCUAACUGACGGAAUUCAGAGAGCUUCUAGAUUGGUGCAUGACCUUAUGAUGGGCUCAUCACAAGAGUGACUGCAGCUGAAGACGCCAGAGUUCUACCAGCAGAACUCUUCUCACAAUCUUGACUUUGGCCACGUAGUUCUGGACCUUAAGAUCAAAGCAGAGGGAGGCCAGAGGAAGUGACUCAUUUCUGCUUGAAGCAAGUUGCAAGUUUCUAAUGAGGAAAGGCAAGAUGCACAUCUCCCUUCUCUGGUCAAUCACUAGAUGUGGUCUCUCACUGGCAACAUUAGCAGUGGACUUUGUAUGAUCACAGGCCAUGAUGAAGAAAACAACACAAUAUUAAACCAAGCACAAGAGAAAAUGAUGCAAUCAAGAGAUACAGUAAACACAGGAUGUAUGAGGCUGCUGCCGACAUACACAGCAUACUGCUUUAAAGUAAAUUUUUUUAAUUGACGCAAGAGUUGAGAGAGAAGUCUGAAUAGCCCUUCUAUUUGGCUGCCGCAAAUUUCUGAGAAUAAUGGACUUUCUUCUCUUCUGCCUUCCAAAUCACUCAAGCUCUUCUCGUUGGCAAUCUCCAACCAUACAGAGAAAGGAAGCCAUAUAAAAUCCAUUCAAGGAGAGAUAUUCUGGGAAAUGUAGGGGUUUGGUUUGGGGUUUUUGGGGUUUUUUUUUUGCAUAGGGGAGAAAUUAAUUUGUACUCUUCUUACAAUUGUUUUCUAAGUUGGAAAUCAUUGUAAAAUAAAAAGUUUAAG